rnacentral:rRNA from 1 species
GAUGAACGCUGCCGGCGUGCCUAAUACGUGCAAGUCGAGCGAACGGACGAGAAGCUUGCUUCUCUGAUGUUAGCGGCGGACGGGUGAGUAACACGUGGAUAACCUACCUAUAAGACUGGGAUAACUUCGGGAAACCGGAGCUAAUACCGGAUAAUAUUUUGAACCGCAUGGUUCAAAAGUGAAAGACGGUCUUGCUGUCACUUAUAGAUGGAUCCGCGCUGCAUUAGCUAGUUGGUAAGGUAACGGCUUACCAAGGCAACGAUGCAUAGCCGACCUGAGAGGGUGAUCGGCCACACUGGAACUGAGACACGGUCCAGACUCCUACGGGAGGCAGCAGUAGGGAAUCUUCCGCAAUGGGCGAAAGCCUGACGGAGCAACGCCGCGUGAGUGAUGAAGGUCUUCGGAUCGUAAAACUCUGUUAUUAGGGAAGAACAUAUGUGUAAGUAACUGUGCACAUCUUGACGGUACCUAAUCAGAAAGCCACGGCUAACUACGUG